UGGCCAUACGGGUCAUGGCCGGGCCUGGCCGGGCUCAGCAGGGCCGUCCUCUGAUAAGUUUGUCCUCCUCCCGGAGACCCCGACCGUCCCUCGUCGGGAGAGGGGCCCCGGCUGCGCUCUCCAGUGAGCCUCCACUCCCACCAUCGCUCACCUCUCGCCUCACGCACGCAACAGAGUCUCGCUCCCAGACCCCAUCACCUCGCGCCGCUCCUCCGCCGCGGCGAUGCUCCUCGCCGGGCCGCAGCCCCCUACCCCGCCGCUGCUGCUCCCGGAGAGCAGCGGCGAGGACGGCGGCGCCCACGACCACGACUCCUCCUCGCGGGCCUCGGCCCCGAAGAAGCGCGCCGAGACCUGGGUCCAGGACGAGACGCUCAGCCUCAUCGCGCUGCGCCGUGAGAUGGACAACCACUUCAACACCUCCAAGUCCAACAAGCACCUCUGGGAGGCCAUCUCCGCCAAGAUGCGGGAGCAGGGCUUCGACCGCUCCCCGACCAUGUGCACCGACAAGUGGCGCAACCUACUCAAGGAGUUCAAGAAGGCGCGCAGCCACGCCCGCAGCAGCGCCGGCGCCGGCGGGAACGGCUCCGCCAAGAUGGCCUACUACAAGGAGAUCGACGACCUGCUCAAGCGCCGCGGGAAGGCGGCCGCCUCGCCCGCGGGGAGUGGUGGUGGAGGUGGCGCCGCGAAGAGCCCCACGCCCACCUCCAAGAUCGAGUCUUACCUGCAAUUCGCGGAUAAAGGUUUUGAAGAUGCCAACAUUCCAUUUGGUCCUGUUGAAGCGAGUCAUCCACUUGCCUUAACGACAGCUGAUGCAGUUGCAACCAAUGGUGUGAAUCCAUGGAACUGGAGAGACACCUCAACUAACGGUGGAGAUAAUCAGGGUACUUAUGGUGGGAGGGUCAUCCUAGUCAAGUGGGGUGACUAUACUAAAAGAAUAGGGAUUGAUGGUACUGCCGAGGCAAUUAAAGAGGCCAUCAAAUCGGCCUUUGGAUUAAGAACAAGGCGGGCUUUUUGGCUUGAAGAUGAGGACGAGGUUGUUCGUUCCUUGGACAGGGACAUGCCAGUCGGAGUAUAUGCUCUUCAUCUUGAUAAUGGGAUAACAAUCAAACUCUGCACAUUCGAAGAUGCAGACCGCAUGACAGUCCGGACAGAAGAUAAGACAUUCUACACUGAAGACGACUUCAGAGAUUUUCUGUCACGGCGUGGUUGGACACUCCUUAGGGAGUAUAGUGGCUACAGAGUUGCUGAUACUCUGGACGAUCUUCGCCCUGGCGCGAUUUACCAGGGGAUGCGCUCGCUUGUAGAUUGAUCAUGCAUCAUUUGUCCGACAAAGGGCAUCUAUAUCUGGGGUAUGUUGGUUUUGAGCCCAAGUUCGCCCUGCCAAGUUUUUGGGCUAUGAUAAUAAAAAAUAAAUGGGAAAACACACCCCUAAAUUAAUGUCCACCAUAGAAGUGGUCCGUCCAUACAGGUGAACAUAGUUCGAAGCCAGUCCUAGGCAUCCCUGACUGUAAAUGUAUUCCUGUAUUCGGGAGCCAUAUAUUUUAAGACUAUAGGAAUGGCUAUCUAGGUAAAUAUAUAGCCAUGGAAACAAACUCUGUAAGGUUUCCCGAGUUCAAUUUGCUCGGUGCUGUUGUUGCAGGAGCCACGACCAGGCUGUUUGAGAUUCAUUCAAUUGC
rnacentral:rRNA from 1 species